rnacentral:rRNA from 1 species
AUUGAACGCUGGCGGCAGGCCUAACACAUGCAAGUCGAGCGAGCGGCGGACGGGUGAGUAAUGUCUGGGAAACUGCCUGAUGGAGGGGGAUAACUACUGGAAACGGUAGCUAAUACCGCAUACUAUCAGAUGAGCCUAGGUCGGAUUAGCUAGUUGGUGGGGUAAAGGCCUACCAAGGCGACGAUCCGUCACUGGUCUGAGAGGAUGAUCAGUCACACUGGAACUGAGACACGGUCUAGACUCCUACGGGAGGCAGCAGUGGGGAAUAUUGGACAAUGGGCGCAAGCCUGAGGCAGCCAUGCCGCGUGUAUGAAGAAGGCCUUCGGGUUGUAAAGUACUUUCAGCGGGGAGGCGUUACCCGCAGAAGAAGCACCGGCUAACUCCGUGCCAGCAGCCGCGGUAAUAC